ACGCUGGGAGCUGUAGACCGGAGCUGUUCCUAUUCGGCCAUCUUGGCUCCUCCCGUGUUUUCCAGGUGUAUUCCACAUUGUCUCUACUAGUGAACUAGGAUAAUCCAUUGUGUAUCUCAACCUCCUUCACUACCCUGUGAAAGUCACACGUGAGAAGAAGCAUCACAGAUGAUUCCAUGGAGAACAUCCUGGAAGUUCUCCAAAUGAACUGGAAAUUCCCUGUCUCCCCUUAACCAGCACUGGAAGCAGAUGGGAAGAGAAUAGCUGUGACUGACACACACUCUAACCCAGCAACCCUUAGCAUACAAGUGGGGGACCAUAAAGUUUUUCAAGACCCCAAAAGAGGCCAAAGGUCUGAUAAUUGCUGGGAGAAGGUCCACUAUCCAAGAAGAGAAGAGGAAAAGGAAUUAAAGUCUCCAAGCACUGGGGAUGCAAGAAGAGAGUUGCACAGGAGAGAAAGAAGAAGUUGUCCACGGGGUGACCCUGCAAUUGGAGGGAAAUGCAUGUGGAUAUGUGCAGGGAGUCUAGGAAGUGAAGCCUUAGUGAUCAUUUACAAGAAUGAGGGUUAGGUAAAAUAAGGGA
rnacentral:lncRNA from 1 species